UAUAACAAAAAUCCAUUUUGGACAGGAUUUACGUAAAAUUCGUUUUCAGUGCUCGUCUACAUCGUGGAAUGAGUAGUUAUACAAAAUUUCCAGUCGGAUGUAUAGUUUCGGAGAUCUCAUGAUGAGUGAGCAAUAUUUCGCUUAUAGAUAGACUACAUAAUUUCUUUGAAAUGGAUUAAACUUAAUGGCAAAAUCUGAUCGUGUGCUCUUGAAGUGUGCUUUGUAUAACAAGUUUCUUCGAGUACUUUGGAAGUAACACUCUUGAACCAAGAACCCAAUGAUUCAGUGCUAAUGAUUUGUUUCAAAUGCAAACGGAAAAGUUCCAGGAGUGUCUUCAUGUAU